rnacentral:rRNA from 1 species
UUAAGCGACUAAGCGUACACGGUGGAUGCCCUGGCAGUCAGAGGCGAUGAAGGACGUGCUAAUCUGCGAAAAGCGUCGGUAAGGUGAUAUGAACCGUUAUAGCCGGCGAUGUCCGAAUGGGGAAACCCAGUGCAAUUCGUUGCACUAUCGUUUGAUGAAUACAUAGUCAAACGAGGCGAACCGGGGGAACUGAAACAUCUAAGUACCCCGAGGAAAAGAAAUCAACCGAGAUUCCCCCAGUAGCGGCGAGCGAACGGGGAGCAGCCCGGAGUCUGAAUCAGCUUGUGUGUUAGUGGAAGCGUCUGGAAAGUCGCAGGGUACAGGGUGAUACUCCCGUACACUAAAACGCACAGGUUGUGAACUCGAAGAGUAGGGCGGGACACGUGGUAUCCUGUCUGAAUAUGGGGGGACCAUCCUCCAAGGCUAAAUACUCCUGACUGACCGAUAGUGAACCAGUACCGUGAGGGAAAGGCGAAAAGAACCCCGGCGAGGGGAGUGAAAAAGAACCUGAAACCGUGUACGUACAAGCAGUAGGAGCCUCUUUAUGGGGUGACUGCGUACCUUUUGUAUAAUGGGUCAGCGACUUAUAUUCUGUAGCAAGGUUAACCGUAUAGGGGAGCCGCAGGGAAACCGAGUCUUAACUGGGCGUUAAGUUGCAGGGUAUAGACCCGAAACCCGGUGAUCUAGCCAUGGGCAGGUUGAAGGUUGGGUAACACUAACUGGAGGACCGAACCGACUAAUGUUGAAAAAUUAGCGGAUGACUUGUGGCUGGGGGUGAAAGGCCAAUCAAACCGGGAGAUAGCUGGUUCUCCCCGAAAGCUAUUUAGGUAGCGCCUCGUGAACUCAUCUUCGGGGGUAGAGCACUGUUUCGGCUAGGGGGUCAUCCCGACUUACCAACCCGAUGCAAACUACGAAUACCGAAGAAUGUUAUCACGGGAGACACACGGCGGGUGCUAACGUCCGUCGUGAAGAGGGAAACAACCCAGACCGCCAGCUAAGGUCCCAAAGUCAUGGUUAAGUGGGAAACGAUGUGGGAAGGCCCAGACAGCCAGGAUGUUGGCUUAGAAGCAGCCAUCAUUUAAAGAAAGCGUAAUAGCUCACUGGUCGAGUCGGCCUGCGCGGAAGAUGUAACGGGGCUAAACCAUGCACCGAAGCUGCGGCAGCGACACUAUGUGUUGUUGGGUAGGGGAGCGUUCUGUAAGCCGUUGAAGGUGGCCUGUGAGGGUUGCUGGAGGUAUCAGAAGUGCGAAUGCUGACAUAAGUAACGAUAAUGCGGGUGAAAAACCCGCACGCCGGAAGACCAAGGGUUCCUGUCCAACGUUAAUCGGGGCAGGGUGAGUCGACCCCUAAGGCGAGGCCGAAAGGCGUAGUCGAUGGGAAACAGGUUAAUAUUCCUGUACUCGGUGUUACUGCGAAGGGGGGACGGAGAAGGCUAUGUUGGCCGGGCGACGGUUGUCCCGGUUUAAGCAUGUAGGCGGAUGUUCCAGGUAAAUCCGGAACGUUACUAACGCUGAGGUGUGAUGACGAGGCACUACGGUGCUGAAGUGACAAAUGCCCUGCUUCCAGGAAAAGCCUCUAAGCAUCAGGUAACAUCAAAUCGUACCCCAAACCGACACAGGUGGUCAGGUAGAGAAUACCAAGGCGCUUGAGAGAACUCGGGUGAAGGAACUAGGCAAAAUGGUGCCGUAACUUCGGGAGAAGGCACGCUGAUAUGUAGGUGAAGUGGUUUACCCAUGGAGCUGAAAUCAGUCGAAGAUACCAGCUGGCUGCAACUGUUUAUUAAAAACACAGCACUGUGCAAACACGAAAGUGGACGUAUACGGUGUGACGCCUGCCCGGUGCCGGAAGGUUAAUUGAUGGGGUUAUCCGUAAGGAGAAGCUCUUGAUCGAAGCCCCGGUAAACGGCGGCCGUAACUAUAACGGUCCUAAGGUAGCGAAAUUCCUUGUCGGGUAAGUUCCGACCUGCACGAAUGGCGUAAUGAUGGCCAGGCUGUCUCCACCCGAGACUCAGUGAAAUUGAACUCGCUGUGAAGAUGCAGUGUACCCGCGGCAAGACGGAAAGACCCCGUGAACCUUUACUAUAGCUUGACACUGAACACUGGUCCUUGAUGUGUAGGAUAGGUGGGAGGCUUUGAAGUGUGGACGCCAGUCUGCAUGGAGCCAUCCUUGAAAUACCACCCUUUAAUGGCUGGUGUUCUAACGUGGGCCCCUAAUCGGGGUUGCGGACAGUGUCUGGUGGGUAGUUUGACUGGGGCGGUCUCCUCCUAAAGAGUAACGGAGGAGCACGAAGGUCAGCUAAUCCUGGUCGGACAUCAGGAGGUUAGUGCAAUGGCAUAAGCUGGCUUGACUGCGAGCGUGACGGCGCGAGCAGGUGCGAAAGCAGGUCAUAGUGAUCCGGUGGUUCUGAAUGGAAGGGCCAUCGCUCAACGGAUAAAAGGUACUCCGGGGAUAACAGGCUGAUACCGCCCAAGAGUUCAUAUCGACGGCGGUGUUUGGCACCUCGAUGUCGGCUCAUCACAUCCUGGGGCUGAAGUAGGUCCCAAGGGUAUGGCUGUUCGCCAUUUAAAGUGGUACGCGAGCUGGGUUUAGAACGUCGUGAGACAGUUCGGUCCCUAUCUGCCGUGGGCGCUGGAGAAUUGAGGGGGGCUGCUCCUAGUACGAGAGGACCGGAGUGGACGCAUCACUGGUGUUCGGGUUGUCAUGCCAAUGGCAUUGCCCGGUAGCUAAAUGCGGAAGAGAUAAGUGCUGAAAGCAUCUAAGCACGAAACUUGCCCCGAGAUGAGUUCUCCCUGACUCCUUGAGAGUCCUGAAGGAACGUUGAAGACGACGACGUUGAUAGGCCGGGUGUGUAAGCGCAGCGAUGCGUUGAGCUAACCGGUACUAAUGAACCGUGAGGCUUAACCUU